UUACCAUCAUUUAUUCCUUCCAGCCAAUAUUUCCCCAAAGGCUGUCUGUUUAACAGGUCGCCUCCUUUCUUCUGCACCAGGUAUUCUAGCCCCCUUUUUUUGUUUCUCUCGUAUUUUGAUAUUCGUCAUCCUCUGGCAAAUAAGUUAUUAAUGCUUCUAUUUACUCACCGAGCGCAAUCCAUGGCCCGAUGCCCCACUUUGGAUCAUAUUUUCCUUUUCAAAUUCACCCUCCAUUUGUUUAGGGAAAAUAUGAUCCAAAGUGGGGCAUCGGGCCAUGGAUUGGGGUCGGUGAGCAAAUAGAAGCAUUAAUAACUUAUUUGCCAGAGGAUGACGAAUAUCAAAAUACGAGAGAAAAAAAAAAAGGGGGCUAGAAUACCUGGUGCAGAAGAAAGGAGGCGACCUGUUAAACAGACAGCCUUUGGGAAAAUAUUGGCUGGAAGGAAUAAAUGAUGGUAAGGGAAAACUUAUUGAAACUAAACUAAUCCUGCACAAUUCACUAAAUUCACAUGUGGUAAAAUUAACUGUAUGAAGGAUGAACGAAAUUACAUAACAGGUAAAAUUGUAAACAAAAUAAAGUGACAUCUAAUGUGUUGAAAUUAUAGAAAUUUUUGCUUAGCUGUUGAUGGGUUAAAAUUGAAACUUAAUGAAACUUGACAAAUUGAGGUUUAUAGCAGAGUUGAACUUUAUCAUGGACUAAUCAAUAUUUGUCUCUCUCAUUAUCUUAUCAAAAGAGGAUUUCUUUUCAUUUGAAACUUGGUCACCUUAAAAUGUCUAAAGAGGGAACAGGAU